rnacentral:piRNA from 1 species
UGAAUUCGUUAACUUUUUUUC